UGAUCCAACAAAACAGUGAAACACGUUAUUAAUACACAGAACCAAAGGUGAUCUCACUAAUAUGAACUCCAACAAGGCUCUCUCUCUAUCUCAUCCUAGAAGUAUGUGUCUUAACAAGACACUCUUUUGAAUAACUACACAUGACAAAAUAAAGUAAGAGGCUUUAUGUUUGUUAAGGAACCAAUUAAGCUUAAAGUUUCUAUCUUUCUCUUUAAAAAAAAAAAAAAACUUAAUCCAGAUCAGAGUGAAAAGAAAAGAAAAACCAAAUCUUGAGAAACUAUUUCAGAUCCAGAGACAAAAUAGACCAGACCCAUAAACUGAAACUUGAUUUAAACUCAAGAAGAAGAAGAAAAAAAACAGAGUUCUUACCAUAUGCAGUUCUUGAUAAUCUUGCAUAAGGCUGUGAUGCCUAAGGUUGGGAGGAGUUCGAUUCAUCAGGUGAACACAAGAUGUGUAGUUACAGAAUCAAAGAAGGAAAGAGAUGAAGGAGGAUAAGCCCUUGAAAGAAGGAAUGAGAAGAGAGAUAGAGAGAGAGGAAGGUUCUGGGUUUGGUGGUGUUGUAUAUCAAACGGAGAGGAGAAGUCAGAGAAGGACAAAGAAGCAGAAAAGAAGGACACAUCAUCUUGUUGUUGGUGUUGGUGUUGUGAGAGAAAAAAGAAAUAAAAUAAAAGCAAUAUUGCUUUUUUUGGAGGUGUGUUAAGACAGCAGUGAUGAAGAUGGAAGCAGAUUUGUGCAGGGAGUAAGUGUGUGAAAUGACUUCUGCACUAAGUUGUGGUGUUGGGUCAAGUGAAAAGCAACUUCCUUUUUCUCUUUUAUUUUAAUGGGUUUUGUUGGAGACUCUUGAGAAGAAACGUCUCUAUUUUAUUUCUUGUGCUCCAUUGUCGUCUGUAAUUUUUUUUUUUUGUCGUCUGUGAAGUUAUUAACCAUUCAAAGUUUAACACUGGGUCCGUUGAAAAUAGACCGAUGAGAAUGGAGGUUCAAAUAUAAAUCCACGACUUUAUUUAUAGAAAAGUCAGAUAGUGGAAGAGAAAAAGCUAACGUAAUAAGAUUCGCUUUUUGAAGCUAUAGUACUAAGAGUGAUUUACAUUGCAUGGCAAGUUUCAAUAUCACAAUAAGACAGUUAUUGCUACUUGACAGUUUCUGAGUGAAAUAUCUUAACUUGUCCCUGAAAAAGGUGUAAUUGGUGGGGUAAAAUUGGAAAAUGGUUUUUAGUUUUCUAGUUACGUUUUUAAAUUUUAAAAUGAGUGAGUUGACCUAAUGAAAGAGAAUUUAGGAGUUACCAAACGUAUGAAAAAAUAUUGUGUUUUAAAUUUCUAACUUUUGUUGGAAGAAUUUAAAUCUUCAGAAAAUAGUUGCUUACAAUUUCUUUUAGGUUAGAGGAUGAAACAACAGAGAUAGAGGACGUGAUAGGAGAGCUAUCGGAGAAACUAAUUUUUAUAUAUAUAUUUUUUGGUUUUGGGUUCUAAUCUAUUAAUCUAUAUAAUAUGUAUAAGUUCUAGAGGUAAAACACAAAAACAAUGAAAAUUGCAUGAUAAAAAUCAAUGGCGGCUGUGAGUUAUAUUUGCAGGAAACACAGAAAACCCUAAUAGGAAGAAGAUGAACUUAUUACAAAAUUGCCACUCAUUAAAAAAAAAAAUUUGAUGACCACACGGAUGUGUACAUAAUGCUAGUGUACACAUGUUCAUGUACAAGGGUACAUUGGAUGACUACGUAGUACAUAAUGUUAGUGUACGUAUGUAUAUGUGCACCUAAUGUUAGUGUACGUGUGUACAUAAUGUUUGUCUUUGUAAAUAUAAAGAUAAGGAAGUAUGGUUUACGUGAAUUAAACAACAUAAUUAUAUAUGUACAUAUGUAUAUAUUUACAUGUGCACAAACACAACACGUAUAUAUCUUUUACAUGUGUACAUGCAAUGUUCAUAAAAUUGUGUAUUCUCACUAAAAUCUUAAAAUCAUGUUUUAAUUCUUUAAUGCCCUGAAAAAUAAAUUAACUGAACUAAAAUCAAAACCAAAAAUCAUAAGAUAUGAAUAAAACACAAAAUCAUGUGAAAUAUUAAGAAUCAAAAAUAUACAUACGAAAGUAGUUUUGUGUUAUUCAACAUACGUUUGAAGACACGUCCAGAUUUACAAAUGCAUCAGUGUUGUGUUUAGAAAACGUACAAAUGAACCAAAGUCAUGUGGAUACCUAUCGAUGUACACAUGGACAUUAUCAGACAAAAUGAACACAUGUACACUAUAAUAUAUAUGUGCACAUAGACAUCCUACUAAACAUUGGAUGGUUAAGAAACCGUUAAUUAUGGCCGAUAGAAGAAUUCAUUAAUGAGUCUUGUUUAGAUGGUUAAGAAAACCGUUAACUAUGGCCGGUAGAAGAAUUCACUAAGGUUAUAAUCCAUGUGAAUGUAACAAUUAUUUUGAAACGAUCCAUCUCAAGCUUUGAAAUUCCCAUGCAGUAUUCUUAUUGAUAAUCAUGGUGGACCAGAGUUUUUAUCAAACAUUUGUGCCUAACAUUUAGUUUGCGUUUUCCAAUAGUCCCAAUGAUGUAGUAUAUGAAUAUUAUCAAUUUCGGUGGUGGAUCACUUUGGAAUGAGCUGGUGAUGACGAGGGGUUUCAGACGCUCAUGGAAGAAGGAAAGAGGUUUACGAGUCACUUGUUUUCUUAUCAAUUUCUUUCUUAUAUACAUGGUACAUUGUUUUAAUAAUAAAGAGUGUAUGCCUAUGAAGACAUACACAUGCACACAUAUAAUUAUACACAUGUAAAUUUUGUUUUUUGCUUUAAUAAUAAAUAGUGUACACAUGUGAAGAGUGUACAUUGUUUUAAUACAUUGUUUCAAUAAGACAGAGUGUACACUUGUGAAGAUGUACACAUGUACACAUAUAAUUGUACACAUUUUGCUAUUUUUUAAAUGAGUGGCAAUUUUGUAAUUUGGUCAUCUUUUUCUUAUUAGGGUAUCCUGCGUUUCUGCAACUAAAUCUCAGAGCCGCCAUUGAUUUUCUUCGUGCAAUUUUUUUUUUUUGCGUUUUUACAUCUAGAACUUAAAAAUAUUGUAGUAAUUAACCAAUUAGAUCCAAAACCAAACAAAAACAAAUUUUUUUCAUAAUUUUCGAGUUUGACAAUUUUUAACCAAAAUGCCAUAGCUCUUAUUCGCCAAGCUUCAACCUUUCAAGAUAAUAGCAGCUUAAUCUCUUGACUUGAAAAGAUCUGUGAAAACAAACAGAACUGUAAAAA